AUUGAACGCUGGCGGCAUGCCUUACACAUGCAAGUCGAACGGCAGCACGGGUGCUUGCACCUGGUGGCGAGUGGCGAACGGGUGAGUAAUACAUCGGAACGUACCUUAUCGUGGGGGAUAACGCAGCGAAAGCUGUGCUAAUACCGCAUACGCCCUGAGGGGGAAAGCGGGGGAUCGAAAGACCUCGCGCGAUUAGAGCGGCCGAUGCCUGAUUAGCUUGUUGGUGGGGUAAAAGCCCACCAAGGCGACGAUCAGUAGCUGGUCUGAGAGGACGAUCAGCCACACUGGAACUGAGACACGGUCCAGACUCCUACGGGAGGCAGCAGUGAGGAAUUUUCUGCAAUGGGCGAAAGCCUGACAGAGCAAUACCGCGUGAGGGAUGAAGACUUACUGAGUUGUAAACCUCGGUACUGUAAGAAUAAGGAUCGGCUAACUCCGUG
rnacentral:rRNA from 1 species